rnacentral:rRNA from 1 species
CACGUAGGGGACGAGCGUUGUCCGGAUUCAUUGGGCGUAAAGCGCGCGUAGGCGGCUCGGCAAGUCGGUCGUGAAAUGCCGGGGCUCAACCCCGGGACUGCGUCCGAUACUUCCGGGCUGGAGGUAGGUAGGGGAGAUCGGAAUUCCUGGUGUAGCGGUGGAAUGCGCAGAUAUCAGGAGGAACACCGGUGGCGAAGGCGGGUCUCUGGGCAGUAACUGACGCUGAGGAGCGAAAGCGUGGGGAGCGAACAGG